AGAUCCGCCGAAAGCCUAAGGGUUCCUGAGGAAGGUUCGUCCGCUCAGGGUAAGUCGGGACCUAAGGCGAGGCCGAUAGGCGUAGUCGAAGGACAACAGGUCGAAAUUCCUGUACCACCGUAAUCCGUUAUGAGCGAUGGGGUGACGCAGUAGGGUAGUGACGCGGACUGAUGGAUGUCCGUCUAAGCAGUGAGGCUGAUGUGUAGGCAAAUCCGCACAUCGUAAGGCUGGGCUGUGAUGGGGAGCGAAAAUUACA
rnacentral:rRNA from 1 species